AUUUGAGAGGCGCUGUCCCUAGUACGAGAGGACCAGGAUGGACGCACCAAGGGUGAAUCAGUUGUCGCGCCAGCGGCACAGCUGGGUAGCCAUGUGCGGAACGGAUAAACGCUGAAGGCAUCUAAGCGUGAAGCCGACCUCAAGAUAAGAUCUCCCAUUCAGUUAAUGAAGUAAGACCCCUUGAAGACGACAAGGUUGAUAGGUCGCAGGUGGAAGCGCAGCAAUGCGCGCAGCUGAGCGAUACUAAUCGGUCGAGGGCUUGAUCAA
rnacentral:rRNA from 1 species